rnacentral:rRNA from 1 species
UGCAGAAUCCCGUGAACCAUCGAGUCUUUGAACGCAAGUUGCGCCCGAAGCCAUUAGGUUGAGGGCACGUCUGCCUGGGUGUCACACAUCGUUGCCCCAACGCCAAACGCCUCGAGCUGUGCGGCGUGUGGGGCGAAUGUUGGCCUCCCGCGAGUCCAGGCUCACGGUUGGUUGAAAUUUGGGUCCGUGGUAGGGUAUGCCAUGAUGGAUGGUGGUUGAGUAACGCUCGAGACCGAUCAUGGGAAACCCUAUCUUGCUUGGGCUCUAGUAACCCGUAUGCGUUGGGAAAUAAACAGCGCUCACAAUGAGACCUCAGGUCAGGCGGGGCUACCCGCUGAGUUUAAGCAUAUCAAUAAGCGGAGGAAAAGAAACUAACAAGGAUUCCCUUAGUAACGGCGAGCGAACCGGGAAGAGCCCACCAUGAGAAUCGGUCGCCAUCGGCGUCUGA